AUCGCUUCUCGGCCUUUUGGCUUAGAUCAAGUGUAAAAAGUACCAAUGAUAAAUAAAAUUAAAAUUUUAAAGAGAAAACAAGCCUCCUGUUUCACUUGGCACCAGUAUCAGGCAUUGCUUGAAAUAUGAUGCAAAUAUA
ensembl:snRNA U2 U2 spliceosomal RNA